rfam:Stegodyphus mimosarum contig19008, whole genome shotgun sequence.
GCUUUCGUGGUGUAGUGGUCUGCAUGUUCGUCGCGUAACCGAGAGGUCCGUGGUUCGAUUCCCGGCGAAGGCG